CCUACGGGAGGCAGCAGUGAGGAAUAUUGGUCAAUGGGCGCGAGCCUGAACCAGCCAAGUCGCGUGAGGGAGGACGGCCCUACGGGUUGUAAACCUCUUUUGCCGGGGAGCAACGGGCGUCACGUGUGGCGCCACUGAGAGUACCCGGAGAACAAGCAUCGGCUAACUCCGUGCCAGCAGCCGCGGUAAUACGGAGGAUGCGAGCGUUAUCCGGCUUUAUUGGGUUUAAAGGGUGCGUAGGCGGGUUGUUAAGUCAGUGGUCAAAUUGAGGGGCUCAACCCCUUCCCGCCAUUGAAACUGGCGAUCUUGAGUGGAAGAGAAGUAUGCGGAAUGCGUGGUGUAGCGGUGAAAUGCAUAGAUAUAACGCAGAACCCCGAUUGCGAAGGCAGCAUGCCGGCUUCCGACUGACGCUGAAGCACGAAAGCGUGGGGAUCGAACAGGAUUAGAUACCCGGGUAGUC
rnacentral:rRNA from 1 species